UUUCGAUGAUGAAAAAUAUCCCGAAACUGAAGUUCUGAUGAAAAUAAUACGGAUCUGACUACUGAGAU